ACCAUUCCCACACAUAUUCAUAUUCAUUCACAUAUGAUCAUGACAAACAUAUGCACACAUUCAUCCUCCCUUCUCCAUGUGCCAUCCUCCCAUCACAAUUGUGUUUACCACCACUCCAAGCCCACCUGGCAGCUGUUUGCCAGGCUUGGGAGCUGUAUAGACUUGAAUGGAGUGAAAAGGGGGAUGCAGCAAAAUUUGGUAGUGGGGGGUAAUUCAACCGGGGGCUUGGACACUGACACAAGCCACUCUGAGAGCAUCUGGGGGCCAUAAGUGGCUACCAGCCAUAGGUUUCCCAAACAUGAUUUAAAGGGUCAAGCUCUUGGCCUAGCACCCAAUACUCCUCUCCAUUAAUUCUUUCCUGGCUUAGUACCUGUGCUGAUGAUUCAGUGAUAGGGAGCAUGGCAACCCAGACAGAAGUAUCCUGGCUGACUGUGGCUGGUUCUAGGCCUUACCCUUCUAUAUGUUGGUUAUAUUAUGUUCAACAAUGCUAUCCAAAACUUUUCUUGGGAGACAGUGGACUCAGGUAUACAGCUGCAAACAAAACAUUUUGAAUGUGUUGUAAAGUGCAAUGUGACACUAGAUGGCGACGGCGAGCUAUAGCAAAUCCAAUGCAUUUUUUCAAAACAAUUUUUUUUAAAAAAAGCAUUUUUGCCACGUUUUUAACAUGUGUAUAGAUCCCACCAGUAUGGUAACCAGCUUUUAAAACAUUGGUGUAAAAAUAUAUUGUAGUUUUAAAGCUUUCCCUCAUUAUCUUGCCCAAGAACAUGCAUUAUUAUUAAUAAUUAAAUUUGUAUAUCACCCUUCAUCCAUAUUGUAAUGAAUUUGUUGUUGCUUAAGUCAAAUCCUAAGCCUCAAACUGAAAAUGGCUUCUAGACUCAAACUUUAGACAUAUAGAUGUGACCAUUCAAACAUCUCAUUGGUUCUUGUCCUUUGAUCUACAGCAAGAGAGCUAGGCAGGGCAACCCUAUCCUUUGAAGUAAUUCCCAUCAAAUUCAAUGGGACUUUUUUGCAGGCAAGUGAGCUUAGGAGUGCUGCCUCACUCAUUCAUUUUGAUGUUACUGAGUGCUCUGCAUAUCUUUCCCAUACGCUCAUCAGAUUAUGUAAUCAAAAUGAGGAUCUCAUUCCCUUUCUACACUAUUAUUUUACUCAUUUUGAAAUUGAAAGUGACACUGCCAAGUAAUUUAGGCCUCACAAAAAUAUAUAUAAUAAAGUUAAGAGCUUAAAAAUCCUAAUAGGAUCAAAAAUGCUUUCAUAACAUUGUAAUAAAAAUGUCAGAGAAAAUGAGAGCUAAGUAAAAUUGAUUCAGAUCUUUGCCAUACAUAUCAAAAACCUUGUAAAUUUUGAUCAGGAGCAAACUGUUGUAUACAAAGUUCCCAACAUUCAGAAGCCUCAUCCAGCAGACACUAUUAUAUACGAUAGAUCUUGUCUUAUCUAUUGGAAGACAGGAAAAGAAUCCACUAUAUAUUUUGGAAAGUGGUUGGUUUGUCUGUUCUCUAUGCACCAGACACUUCUUGAGAUAUUAUCACAUACUUGGUAUAAUGGUUCCAGAGAUGGAGGAGGUAGCUGUCAUCUAAGUUUGGAUACCAGAUGCCAUUUCAAAUCAAGAUGGCGGCGUGAAUCUAAACUUCACUGAUUCAGAUGCCUCUGGAGAUAUCACCCAGUUUGCUGUGAUGAUUCCCAAAACUGAAAAGCGAAUUUUAGUCUAUAUAUUGGGAUACCUUCAGGUGCUAUUUUGAACUCAGAUGGUGGAUCAUACUAUUCAAAACUGUUCAGAUGCUGAUGCCUUGGAAAUCAUCACACAAUCUGACAUAGUGUUGUCCUAUUUGGCAUGAAAGUUCCAACCUGCACCAAUUUAGAUGCCUCUGAAGAUGCCACUGCCCAAUUUGGUGUAAUAGUUCCUGAGAAUUAGGAGUGGGUUUUUGUUUAUGUUUGGAUACCGUUAGAUGCCAUUUUGAAGCAAAAUAACCGACAUAAGCAUUUCAGACUGCACUGAUUCUAACCAAAUUUGGCAGGAAAAAUUGUAGGGCUGAACGAAACCAGGACAACCUAGGCAGAUCCAGUAGACAGAACCAUCUAUUCUCUCCUCCUUUGGUGCCUCCAGGAUGUAGGUGGUGGGGGAGAUAACUCUGCCUCCUGAAAGGUGGGAGCGCUGGCAAAAUGCCCCCCUCUUGAAAGGAAGGGCUAUUCCCAAUGUCUGAUCGCACUAGGGUAGGUGACAUGGCACACCACUCUCAUCAUGGAGAUAGGUAAGGCAAGUGAGCACAUUCAGGGAGCCCUCCCAAGAUGCCCACUAUCAGGCUGCCCCAAUUCUGGCAAAGAGCUCUACAUCCCACAGGAGCCUUACCACAGGUUCUCAGUAAACCCUCCAUCUGUAUCAUCCCGUCUUGACCAGCCCAUGGCAAUGGCAAAGAGGGGAGUCUGGCAUGGCAGCAGAGCACAUGCAGCAGUGCAGGAGCCACCCAUGUGGGGUCGAAUCCCUCAGGCUGCAGGGGUCUGCUCUGCCCUUUUGAACCCCACCGGGGGAAGUGCUGGCAAAGCAACACCCAGCAGGACUAAACCCUUCUGCCCUCUGCAGUGUGGUCAUGAGGGGUGAAGAGAAGGCACAGCAUCUCCUUCCUCCACCACCUUCCUGACUGUAUGGGAUAUUUAAAGCCCUAAUUAAACAUUAGGGUCCCACCACCACCGCCAAAUUGAUUCAGGGCUAGCUUCUGGUGCAAUACUCAGAGUUCCCUGGGAAGAGGGGUUGGUUGAUAAACCACUCAGGAAAUUGUAGCUGCAUGCAGGAGACAGGAGUAUUAACAAUACUCAGCACCCUUAACAUACUGCUGUUCCUGGGAAUUUGGUGGUGGGGGGAGCCAUGAUUGUUUAUGAAGUGGUGUGAUCCUGCUUUAAAUGCAUAGUGCAGAUAGGGCCAGAGAAAGGGGAAAGAGGAGAAAACAGAAGGAAGGGAAAGGAGCUUGAAUCAGAAGUCUGUAAAAUACUACUACUCUUCAUGCUCUAAUAGCCAAUAUACUGCCAGUCAGAACUCUAUGUGUUGCUAUUGUGUCUUUACAGCCUCUGGAGUUCCAUAGUUAAAGUUAAUCUCCUACAGUCUCUUGUCAACUGGGCUACGAUAUACUGUAUGAUUUUAGAGUUGCUCUUUUAGUUGCCAUAGCACAUCCACUAGCCUGGUUUGGACUGGAACUGAACAAGUAACAUCUUAAGCUGUACAGGUGUAUGGGUUCAACAGUGGGGUCUGCCAUUGUCUCAGAGCAGUCUAAAGAAAGAUCUCUCCACACAGUUCUUAAAAUCUUGCAUCAAUGUUGUGAAGAGACCCCAGUGUAUUCGAUGAGCAAAAUCUGCAGUCUAUUUCUUUACGUCAGCCUCCACCAACCUAUUGUCCUUAAGAUGUUCUGAACUACAACUCUCAUUGACCCCAAUCAUCCCAGCCAUGCUAGCUGGGACUGACACAAGUUGUAGUCCAAAGUCUGUGGUGGGCACCAGGUUGGCAAAGAGUGUUCUACAUAAAUACAUCACUCAGGUUUUCUUAUCUAGUGUAGCUCCUUGCUUCCUAUACACAUGUAGAUCACUUCAUUGGCAAGAGUCUCGAACUGCACUUCUUGGUUCUUAUCUUAACACUUCUUUAGAGUUUGCUGCCGACAGUGAUCUCAUUUUCCACAUGUUCACUUAACCAUUGUGAUAUCAUACUUAUCUGUAAACAUCUAUAGGAGUGAGGUGGGCAAGCACUUGUAAUUUCCCAAAAGAUCACAUUCUGCUAUCUUUAAUUAGGUUCUUAUUCUUUGUCAUUUUCCCCUGUUCCCACAGCAUGAAAUUGUGUCAAUCUGGAAAAUGAAUUGGUGUUCUAAAUCACAAAUGAUAAUAGGACAAGAGCUGGACAUAAUUCUCUUUUACAUUUAUCCGGUUUCUUCUUCUCCCCCACCCCCAAUCUUUUUUUAAAAAAUAGCACAUAGCAUGAUAUGAUCUUCAGCCAUUCUAUGGCAUGCUUUUCUUCUUUGUCUACCACUGUCACUGAAUGCCAUCUAAAAUUAAAUGGGAAAAAUUGCUGGGGGAUAACAUGGGACUAUAUGAAGCGGUCAGACUAUUUGUUCAUCUAGCCCAAGACUGCCUAACUACUCUGUCUGGCAGCAGGUCUCUGGGGUCUUCAGCAAGAGAUAUUUUGCAUCAAUGGCUACUGGACCUUUUUUAAACGAGAGAUAUGCUGGGGUUGAACCGAGGACCUUUUGCAUGCAAAGCAUAGGAUCUGCUAUUAAGGUGUCCAAGUAAGUAUCAUUUUUAAGAACAACAAAAAAGCCCUGUCUCUACUUGGCACCUUCACUUGGGGGAGGGAGGGAGAAGUGGAGGUACCAAAUACAACCCAAGCUGGGGAAAAGGCACACCAACUUUCCUUUAUCACUCAUGCUGUUUUCCACAACAUGACACUGCAGCUGGUCAGCUGGUGAGUGCUGAUGCGACCCAAGAGUUCAAUUUUCUUUAGUCUCACAAGAAAGUUGAGGAUAUCAGGGGUUUUCACUUUGGUUUUCUCACAUAUAGCCAGCCCAGACCUUUUUCUUUUCUUUUCUUUUUUUUGCCUGAGGUACAUUUGCAGAUGGUGUCUCCCACUCCACUUCCAAGUGAAGGUGCAGAAUGUCCCAACACGGUCUAUGGCAUCUGAGACCAAAAAUCCUAUAAGCACCUCUCCCCCUUCCCCCGGCUGUAAAAGUACAGUAACUGUGAAUUAAAUAAGCAACAACUGGCAGUCAUUUCAUAACAUCCCAAAUCGGCUAUCUGAGGUGUUGCCUCAUAUUGUCCAAUGGCAGAUUUGGCACUGCAAGCAAGCCCAAUUCAUCUUGCAGCAGUUUGCUCUAGUGAAGAAGCUUGCAGAUAGGUCUGUCUAAUGGAAUUUUCUCAGAAAAAUAACAUCUCAGAAGUGUGAAUGAAGGCAUGGAUGCAUCUACAAAAUCCUGUUGAACUGAACAUGGCUUCUCACAUGUAUAAACCUUGGCAGGUUUGAAGCCGCAUCUUUGGACAGCAAUGAAUAUUCCUGGCACUCUGCACUAAAUAACACUGCAAUUUACUGUUUCAAACCCAGUUGAGAUUAAGCGACAGCUUUAUUAAGGGGCAAACCUCAUCUAGCUUACACAAUGAUCAAAUGGAUCUUGGCAAUCACUAAUGCAAACAGGAGUGUUGCAGACAUUUGUUUCAGGCAAAGCCAGUCCAAGAUUAACUAUAUGUUGCUGAAAUACAAUUAAAAAGAGAGUGAUGCAAACCAUCAAGGAAAACAUUAUUCUUACUUUGCAUCCUCUUCUGUCCAAGGCCCAGCUUUUAUUAAUGCUUUGAUCAUUGUGUGCCAUGCAAUCUUUGUUAUUCAAAAGCUCCUUUUAUCGCCACCAGGGCUUGGCCAAUAACCUUGAAUGAUAACUAAUGAGCAAUCAAGGAAACAGAUCAUCUCAAAUCACACCCAACCUUUAAGGUGGGGAUAAGCUUGUGAAAUAAGUUGGUAUCAUCUGAACGUGGGGUGUGGGUCAAGAGACCUGGAAUGGGAGAAGGGUGGGAAAUAAGAACUUUUCCAGAGCGAUGGAAACACAGCUCUUACGUUUGGGGCUCCAAGGGGUACUGCCGUGGCUUUAGGACCGGUCUGUUUUGCAGCUAGUGCUAUCUGCCUGUGAAUAUGCUUGCUUGCCACUUGUUUAGCCUGUAAGUUUCAGGGACUGGCAGGGCUCCAAAGAGUGUGUGGCAGAGGCAGGGGACCAGGGCAGUGACCCAGAAGAGGGGAGCUGUGGUUUAUGGGGUGUGAUGUCAACCGCAAGGCAGGAGCCGGGGGAGGAGGGAGAAUCAGGGCAGACUGAGAUGGAUGAAGGAGAAGUCUCAGGUUGAGGGCAUGCAACCCAUCAGGGGAGGGUAUUUAAGCCACCACAGGGGCGGAGCUUCCCUGAUGCUGCAACUGCUCCAUAGGGUCUAGACCUGUGGACAGCUGCCCAGAGGCUAGAAGCGUGUGAGCAUGUAUAUUGUGAGCACCUUGCUGCAAGUGUUUCUCUUUCCAAUAAAGAGUUAACUAUCAGAUGUGUGUCUUCCUUAUCUGGGGCAGGCUGUGAUAGCAGGUCUGUAAAAAAGCAUUUGCAAAAGGUAUUAAGUGUCCAGUAGAAAACUGGCAAAGAAAAAGAAAGCUGCUCUAGAAUUUCCCAUUACUAAAGGGAGUGGGAAAUGAAACACUAUUAUUAUUUAUGAAGAAGGCACAUAACAUUGAAGUGUUAUUACCUUCACUAGGAUGAAAUUCUGACCUCUCAUGUGCCUAUAAUAAAGCUCUUAUUAAUUUUAGUGUGGCCAAUAUCCAAUCCUAAAUCAUUUCUUUAUCAUAUGCAUAUUCUUUGUUCAUAGAGUAGAGGACAAUUUCAUGGUGUUCUGCUAAGACUAUAAAGUUAAUUAAUUUAUUACAGGCUGUCUUAAAUUAUUGUACCAAGGGAUAGUAUACGUGCAUCAAUCAGCUGCUAAGCUACUCCCCAGUACUUUUUAAUAUUCAUUCAGCAGUGCUUGACAGGUGAUGACAAUGGAAAACUUCCUCUUUGUGAUAUGAUAUGACUUAACUACACACACACACACACACACACACACACACACACACAUUCACACUAGCCAAACACACAAUCCAGCUAUCCUACGCAUGGAAACCUAUUGAAAUCAAUUGCCUUAAAUGCACUUCUCUCUAUGCUAGAUAAUGCAUAGUACUUCCUAAUUCUCCUCACAGAAACAUGAUCUGCACCAGCAAUGGAGCAUGAAGAUGAUAUGAGAGAUGAAGAAUGGGGCCAGUACUUUAUGUUAGUUUCCAUAUUGAUUUGAUUUUACUUAACCUACCCAUUAGUCAAAAAUGUAUUUAACUGGCUUGAAGUAGUUUGGGGAGGGAAUCAAUUUAAAAUUAUAACAAACAAUGUAAUAAACAAUAAAAAGCAAACUAAUCACUUAUGAGACAAUAACAUUACAGCCUCGGUGAGGGGAAGUCACUGUGUGGAAGUGCUUUCCAGUGACCUCCAUGGGGUAGAUCUUGUGUAAAUCCAUUCUAUGCUAAUAACAUUCUGAGCACAUUGCAGGAUAAUUGCUGCAAUCCUGUAAAAGACUUCCCAACACGUCUGCUCAUUGAAAUCCUCAGCACAAUGGCUUGCAAGUAAUUUUGAGUGUGUCAGGAGUGUGCGCCAUACUUGUAGCCAGACCAAAGAUUUACAUAAAGUGUCACUGGUGCCAGCUAACACCUCCACAUAGGUGCUAAUUGUACAGAUUGUACAAGUGCAAUAGUAUUUUUGAAGCCACUAUGAUCAUGCAAAUCUCAUCAUUACACUUAUUCAGCUCUCAUGUCAAGGAACCAUCACACACAAACAGUGUGUCUAAAGUGAACAGAGGCUAUCCACAAGCUAGCAUUAUUUCCUGUGAAACGCUGGCACCAAGGCUUAGCAUCAUUGGGCACAUGCCAAGAUUUACACCACUGCCAAUCCCUGGCGGCUCCUAACCCUGCUCCUCUUCUUCCUUGCUACCUAUUUUUCAUGUGAGUGAGGAGCAAGAGGAGCAGUAAAAUUCACACCUCAUGGCAUCACUCCCUCUGAAAUAUGGUACAACUGAGCCCAGAGGGAGAAGCAAGCAGAUUGGCAGCCAACAACAGGGUUGAGGUGGUGGGACCAUUCAGACAGAAACCCAUCCACUUCAAACCUGAAAUAAGCACUUGUCCCUGUGGACUCUAUAGGUAUUAUCGUGGAGACCAUUGUUAAAGAUGAGCCACCUAAAGUACCAUUGAUUUUACAGGGAUGUAUUUCCAAGUGUGCCUGAGACAGCCAAUCUAUACUUCUCUUAUAGAAAUCUAAUCCCAGUCCCAUGACAAGCACAAAGACACAUUUUUACUCAGGUUGAGAAUCUUGCCAGAAUCUAUUUAAUUCUCGCUUGACUCAUAAGCGAAUAGGAUAGAAAAUCAACCCACAAUAUGACUGACCAUAUCUUCCUUAUUGGAUGGCAGCAAUCAUUUAAUAUAUCAUUUUCAAAUAAAUCACUCUGCUGUGCCUAGCAGACCAUGGUGAACGGGGUGAGGGGAAUCCUUCCAAUCUUGAAAAUGUUAAAACCGCAUCAUUCAAUCAAAUUUUUUCACUCAUCCAGUUGUUGAGCACAUAUGGGAAACUCAGGCCCCAGCUAAGUUCUGCUUUAUGGAAGAUGUGUGAGAAUUAAUUUUAUCUGCUUGUGGCUGAGGCUAAAGCAAACGCAUGGAGCCACAUGGUCUUUGCUCUGCUUUGAAAGCUAUUAAAUGUAUCCCAGACAUAAGUUUCUCCCAUAACUGCUGCCCAUUUAACUAUUGUAGAUGCUUCUUUUUAAUUCCCUAAAGGGGGGGGAAAUCACUAAUCAUAGCUGGAAGAUGAUGUACACCAAGUAAACACAAGAAAGAAAGAAAGAAAGAAAGAAAGAAAGAAAGAAAGAAAUUUUGAUUCUAUGUGUUGUAAUUGUCAUCUCAUAUUUCUGAAGCUCUCCGUCAUCUAGAGCAGCAAUGAAACAUGUCUGACCUUCUAGAUGCUGUCGGGAAUUGGGACCUUAUCAGCUCCAGGCAGCAUGGCCCAUGAUCAGAGAUGUUGGGAGUUGCUGUUGUUCGGUAUUAAAUUUGUAUACCGCCCUACAUCUGUACAUAAAAUUACAAUGUAAAAAACACAAAAUACAUAAUAAAAAUAAGAAGAAAACAAACUAAAAAUUCCCCUUCCCACAACACAUUUUAAAGGGCAUCGGAUGUCAAUCAGCCAAAGGCCUGGUUGAAGAGGAACAUUUUUGCCUGGAGCCUAAAGGUGUAUAAUGAGGGCACCAGCCAAACCUGCCUGAGGGUAGCAUUCAAGAAACAGGAAGCCACUGCAGAAACGGCCCAUUCUUCCAUUCCCACUCUCCAGACCUCUCAUGGAGGAGGCACACAUAGAAGGGCUUCAGAGGGUGAUCUCAGGGUCUGCGUAGGUUCAUAUGGAGCAUGGCAGUCCUUGAGGUAUUGCAGUCUUAAGCCAUUUAGGACCUGAUAGGUCAAAUCCAACAUUUGGAGCUGGAGUCCAACAACAUCUGGAGAGUCACAGGUUGCCUUUAGAGCUUCAUGCUCACGAGCCUAAGUGAGAGAAGUUUCACCAAAACUAUAUCUUCAAGUUUGGGUUGUAUGGAUAUCUGAUGACAGGGUUAACAACAGUACCCAAAAUGUUUAUAAUAUUUUUGCAGGAAGCAUUUCAUAUACAUUGGAAUUUUAACAGCUUAGCAUUCUUGCUUGGUAUUCUGAACAAGCUUGCUGGAAUAGUUUCAGGCUUUGUUGCUAUGGUUAAGAUGCCUUAUAAUCAACACAAAUUAAUGCUGUUCGGUUCCAUGUUGUCUUGCUCUAUAUAUUGUUUAUUGCUAUGCUGUCAAAUUUUGUGUUUGUACUCUCUUUUAACAUUGUAAAGAACACCACACCAUUCUUUUCUGAGCUCGUUCAAAUGAAUUUAUUCUUUGUUGUGAGUAAGAUUCCACCAAUAGAAUAUCAGCCUCAACAAUGCAGAGGCUUUCUUGACAUCUGUUGAGUCUGAAUCAGAGGACUGAGAGACAACGGGUGUCACUGGAGAUCUCCAUUGUCAUUACCC